UACGGAGGAUCCGAGCGUUAUCCGGAUUUAUUGGGUUUAAAGGGUGCGUAGGCGGUUUGAUAAGUUAGAGGUGAAAUGUCGGGGCUCAACCCCAAAACUGCCUCUAAUACUGUUGGACUAGAGAAUAGUUGCGGUAGGCGGAAUGUAUGGUGUAGCGGUGAAAUGCUUAGAGAUCAUACAGAACACCGAUUGCGAAGGCAGCUUACCAAACUAUAUCUGACGUUGAGGCACGAAAGCGUGGGUAGCAAACAGG
rnacentral:rRNA from 1 species